rnacentral:rRNA from 1 species
CCUACGGGUGGCAGCAGUGGGGAAUAUUGGACAAUGGGCGAAAGCCUGAUCCAGCCAUGCCGCGUGUGUGAAGAAGGCCUUCGGGUUGUAAAGCACUUUCAGUGGGGAAGAAAGCCUUGGGGCUAAUACCCUCGAGGAAGGACAUCACCCACAGAAGAAGCACCGGCUAACUCCGUGCCAGCAGCCGCGGUAAUACGGAGGGUGCGUGCGUUAAUCGGAAUUACUGGGCGUAAAGCGCGCGUAGGCGGUCUGAUAAGCCGGUUGUGAAAGCCCCGGGCUCAACCUGGGAACGGCAUCCGGAACUGUCAGGCUAGAGUGCAGGAGAGGAAGGUAGAAUUCCCGGUGUAGCGGUGAAAUGCGUAGAGAUCGGGAGGAAUACCAGUGGCGAAGGCAGCCUUCUGGACUGACACUGACGCUGAGGUGCGAAAGCGUGGGUAGCAAACAGGAUUAGAUACCCGGGUAGUC